CCAAUAGCGUAUAUUAAAGUUGUUGCAGUUAAAAAGCUCGUAGUUGAAUUUCGGGAUCAGUGGGUUGGUCAUGCCACUGGUAUGUACUGGCUUUACUGGAUUCCUCCUUCUUGAAGAACUGUAAUGCCAUUAAUUUGGUGUUGCAGGGAAACAGGACUGUUACUUUGAAAAAAUUAGAGUGUUUAAAGCAGGCAAUCGCUUGAAUACAUUAGCAUGGAAUAAUGAAAUAGGACGUUCGAUCCUAUUUUGUUGGUUUCUAGGAUUGACGUAAUGAUUAAUAGGGAUAGUUGGGGGCAUUAGUAUUCAAUUGUCAGAGGUGAAAUUCUUGGAUUUAUUGAAGGCUAACUACUGCGAAAGCAUUUGCCAAGGAUGUUUUCAUUAAUCAAGAACGAAAGUUAGGGGAUCGAAGACGAUCAGAUACCGUCGUAGUCUUAACCAUAAACUAUGCCGACUAGGGAUCGGAUGAUGUUAAUUUUUUAAUGACUCAUUCGGCGCCUUACG
rnacentral:rRNA from 1 species